rnacentral:rRNA from 1 species
UGGGGAAUCUUGGACAAUGGGCGCAAGCCUGAUCCAGCCAUGCCGCGUGAGUGACGAAGGUCUUCGGAUUGUAAAGCUCUUUUGGCGGGGACGAUAAUGACGGUACCCGCAGAAUAAGCCCCGGCUAACUUCGUGCCAGCAGCCGCGGUAAUACGAAGGGGGCUAGCGUUGUUCGGAAUUACUGGGCGUAAAGCGCACGUAGGCGGAUCUAUAAGUCAGGGGUGAAAUCCCGGGGCUCAACCUCGGAACUGCCUUUGAUACUGUAGAUCUCGAGUCCGGAAGAGGUGAGUGGAAUUCCUAGUGUAGAGGUGAAAUUCGUAGAUAUUAGGAAGAACACCAGUGGCGAAGGCGGCUCACUGGUCCGGUACUGACGCUGAGGUGCGAAAGCGUGGGGAGCAAACAGGAUUAGAUACCCCCGUAGUCCCUGAGCGGGCUGGCAAGGCGC